rnacentral:rRNA from 1 species
AACGAACGCUGGCGGCAUGCCUAACACAUGCAAGUCGAACGAGACCUUCGGGUCUAGUGGCGCACGGGUGCGUAACGCGUGGGAACCUGCCCUUAGGUUCGGAAUAACUCCCCGAAAGGGGUGCUAAUACCGGAUAAUGUCUUCGGACCAAAGAUUUAUCGCCUUUGGAUGGGCCCGCGUUGGAUUAGCUAGUUGGUAGGGUAAAAGCCUACCAAGGCGACGAUCCAUAGCUGGUCUGAGAGGAUGAUCAGCCACACUGGGACUGAGACACGGCCCAGACUCCUACGGGAGGCAGCAGUGGGGAAUAUUGGACAAUGGGCGAAAGCCUGAUCCAGCAAUGCCGCGUGAGUGAUGAAGGACUUAGGGUUGUAAAGCUCUUUUAGCCGGGAUGAUAAUGACAGUACCGGGCGAAUAAGCACCGGCUAACUCCGUG